rnacentral:rRNA from 1 species
AGGGCGCACGGUGGAUGCCUUGGCACUAGAAGCCGAUGAAGGACGUGACUAACGACGAAAUGCUUUGGGGAGCUGUAAGUGAGCAAUGAUCCAGAGAUGUCCGAAUGGGGGAACCCGGCAGGUAAUGCCUGUCACUCAUUACUGUUAAGGUAAUGUAGAGGAAGACGCAGUGAACUGAAACAUCUAAGUAGCUGUAGGAAGAGAAAGCAAAAGCGAUUGCCUUAGUAGCGGCGAGCGAAACGGCAAGAGGGCAAACCGAAGAGUUUACUCUUCGGGGUUGUAGGACUGCAACGUGGACUUAAAGAUUAUAGAAGAACUACCUGGGAAGGUAGGCCAAAGAGAGUAAUAGCCUCGUAUUCGAAAUAGUCUUUAUACCUAGCAGUAUCCUGAGUACGGCGAGACACGAGAAAUCUCGUCGGAAUCUGGGAGGACCAUCUCCCAACCCUAAAUACUCUCUAGUGACCGAUAGUGAACCAGUACCGUGAGGGAAAGGUGAAAAGCACCCCGGGAGGGGAGUGAAAUAGAACCUGAAACCGUGUGCCUACAACAAGUUCGAGCCCGUUAAUGGGUGAGAGCGUGCCUUUUGUAGAAUGAACCGGCGAGUUACGAUAUGAUGCGAGGUUAAGUUGAAGAGACGGAGCCGUAGGGAAACCGAGUCUUAAUAGGGCGCAUUAGUAUCAUGUCGUAGACCCGAAACCAUGUGACCUACCCAUGAGCAGGUUGAAGGUGAGGUAAAACUCACUGGAGGACCGAACCAGGGCACGUUGAAAAGUGCUUGGAUGACUUGUGGGUAGCGGAGAAAUUCCAAACGAACUUGGAGAUAGCUGGUUCUCUCCGAAAUAGCUUUAGGGCUAGCGUCGAUGUUAAGUCUCUUGGAGGUAGAGCACUGUUUGGGUGAGGGGUCCAUCCCGGAUUACCAAUCUCAGAUAAACUCCGAAUGCCAAUGAGAUAUAAUCGGCAGUCAGACUGCGAGUGCUAAGAUCCGUAGUCGAAAGGGAAACAGCCCAGACCACCAGCUAAGGUCCCAAAAUAUAUGUUAAGUGGAAAAGGAUGUGGGGUUGCACAGACAACUAGGAUGUUAGCUUAGAAGCAGCUAUUCAUUCAAAGAGUGCGUAAUAGCUCACUAGUCGAGUGACCCUGCGCCGAAAAUGUACCGGGGCUAAAACAUAUUACCGAAGCUGUGGAUACCUUUAUAGGUAUGGUAGGAGAGCGUUCUAUGUGCGAAGAAGGUGUACCGUGAGGAGUGCUGGAGCGCAUAGAAGUGAGAAUGCCGGUAUGAGUAGCGAAAGACAGGUGAGAAUCCUGUCCACCGUAAGACUAAGGUUUCCAGGGGAAGGCUCGUCCGCCCUGGGUUAGUCGGGACCUAAGGAGAGACCGAAAGGUGUAUCCGAUGGACAACAGGUUGAUAUUCCUGUACUAGAGUAUAUAGUGAUGGAGGGACGCAGUAGGCUAACUAAACCAGACGAUUGGAAGUGUCUGGCCAAGCAGUGAGGUGUGAUAUGAGUCAAAUGCUUAUAUCUUUAACAUUGAGCUGUGAUGGGGAGCGAAGUUUAGUAGCGAAGUUAGUGAUGUCACACUGCCGAGAAAAGCUUCUAGCGUUAAUUAUACUCUACCCGUACCGCAAACCGACACAGGUAGUCGAGGCGAGUAGCCUCAGGUGAGCGAGAGAACUCUCGUUAAGGAACUCGGCAAAAUGGCCCCGUAACUUCGGGAGAAGGGGCGCUGACUGAUGGUCAGCCGCAGUGAAUAGGCCCAAGCAACUGUUUAUCAAAAACACAGCUCUCUGCUAAAUCGUAAGAUGAUGUAUAGGGGGUGACGCCUGCCCGGUGCUGGAAGGUUAAGAGGAGUGCUUAGCGUAAGCGAAGGCAUGAAUUGAAGCCCCAGUAAACGGCGGCCGUAACUAUAACGGUCCUAAGGUAGCGAAAUUCCUUGUCGGGUAAGUUCCGACCCGCACGAAAGGCGUAAUGAUUUGGGCACUGUCUCAACGAGAGACUCGGUGAAAUUUUAGUACCUGUGAAGAUGCAGGUUACCCGCGACAGGACGGAAAGACCCCAUGGAGCUUUACUGCAGUUUGAUAUUGAGUAUCUGUACCACAUGUACAGGAUAGGUAGGAGCCUAUGACCUCGGGACGCCAGUUUCGAGUGAGGCGUUGUUGGGAUACUACCCUUGUGUUAUGGCUACUCUAACCCAGAUAGGUUAUCCCUAUCGGAGACAGUGUCUGACGGGCAGUUUGACUGGGGCGGUCGCCUCCUAAAAGGUAACGGAGGCGCCCAAAGGUUCCCUCAGAAUGGUUGGAAAUCAUUCGCAGAGUGUAAAGGUAUAAGGGAGCUUGACUGCGAGAGUUACAACUCGAGCAGGGACGAAAGUCGGGCUUAGUGAUCCGGUGGUUCCGUAUGGAAGGGCCAUCGCUCAACGGAUAAAAGCUACCCUGGGGAUAACAGGCUUAUCUCCCCCAAGAGUUCACAUCGACGGGGAGGUUUGGCACCUCGAUGUCGGCUCGUCGCAUCCUGGGGCUGUAGUCGGUCCCAAGGGUUGGGCUGUUCGCCCAUUAAAGCGGCACGCGAGCUGGGUUCAGAACGUCGUGAGACAGUUCGGUCCCUAUCCGUCGCGGGCGUAGGAAAUUUGAGAGGAUCUGCUCCUAGUACGAGAGGACCAGAGUGGACUUACCGCUGGUGUACCAGUUGUUCUGCCAAGAGCAUCGCUGGGUAGCUAUGUAGGGAAGGGAUAAACGCUGAAAGCAUCUAAGUGUGAAGCCCACCUCAAGAUGAGAUUUCCCAUGAUUUU